rnacentral:rRNA from 1 species
GAUGAACGCUAGCGGCAGGCCUAACACAUGCAAGUCGAGGGGUAACAUAGAAAAGCUUGCUUUUCUGAUGACGACCGGCGCACGGGUGCGUAACGCGUAUACAACCUACCUUUUAGCGGGGAAUAGCCCGGGGAAACUUGGAUUAAUGCCCCAUAGUAUAUAGACUUCUCCUGAAGUUUAUAUUAAACAUUUAUGGCUAUUAGAUGGGUAUGCGUCCUAUUAGUUAGUUGGUAAGGUAACGGCUUACCAAGGCAGCGAUAGGUAGGGGUCCUGAGAGGGAGAUCCCCACACUGGUACUGAGACACGGACCAGACUCCUACGGGAGGCAGCAGUGAGGAAUAUUGGACAAUGGGCGAGAGCCUGAUCCAGCCAUGCCGCGUGCAGGAAGACUGCCCUAUGGGUUGUAAACUGCUUUUACAGAGGAAGAACCACCCCCACGUGUGGGGGUUUGACGGUACUCUGCGAAUAAGGAUCGGCUAACUCCGUG